GUGUCAGCCGCCGCGGUAAUACUGAGGGUGCGAGCGUUAAUCGGAAUUACUGGGCGUAAAGCGAGUGUAGGCGGUUACCUAAGUCGGAUGUGAAAGCCCCGGGCUUAACCUGGGAAUUGCAUUCGAUACUGGGUGACUGGAGUUUGGUAGAGGUAAGUGGAAUUCCGGGUGUAGCGGUGAAAUGCGUAGAUAUCCGGAGGAACAUCAGUGGCGAAGGCGGCUUACUGGACCAAAACUGACGCUGAGGCUCGAAAGCGUGGGUAGCAAACAGGAUUAGAUACCCUUGUAGUCC
rnacentral:rRNA from 1 species